GUGAUGAUGUUUAUGGAUGGUUAGAUGUCAAGAGCAGGCGAUGACGAUGACUAAUGAGUGGGUGGCAUAUACAGCAUGGAUGCACUGGACAAAGCGAUAAUUCACAUCCCAGAUGAGAUAAAGCAGUGUGACAUGAGAUUUCAUCACACUAUUCAGAAUGGUUUGCAGUUUCAAACUCAUGAAUUGUUUAUUUCUGGAAUCUGUCAUUUAGUAUUGUUAGACUGCAGUUUUCUACAGAGGGGAGCAGAAGGAGAGUUUACUAUAGAAGAUGAUGUGAUGACGGGAGCAGGAAGACAGAGACAGAGAUUUUAAAAUGCAAUCUCACUGACUUUGAAGACAGAGGAAGUGGCCAUAUGAGAUCAGCAAUGCAAAAAAUGCAGCUCAAGAACCCGGAAAAGGCUAGGAAAGGGAUCUUCCCCUGGAGCCUUCAGAGGGGCCAUGGCGCUUCAUGCCAGUCGUGAUGGUUAAUAUUGAGCGUCAACUUGAUUGGAUCAAAGGUUUCGAAGUAUUGUUCCUGGGUGUGUCUGUGGGGGUGUCGCCAAAAGAGAUUAACAUUUGAGUCAGUGAAAUGGGAGACACAGACCCACCCUCAACCUGAAUGGGCACCAUCUAACCAGCUGCCAGCAUGGCUAAAAUAAAAGCAGGCAGAAGAAUGUGGAAAGACUAGAGAGGCUUAGCCAUCUGGCCUACAUCUUUCUCCCAUGCUGGAUGCGUCCUGCCCUGGAACAUUGAACUCCAAGUUCUUCAGCUUUGGGACUCUUGGACCUUCGUCCACUGACUGCAGGCUGCACUGUCUGCUUCCCUACUUUUGAGGUUUUGGGACUCAGACUGGCUUCCUUGCUCCUCAGCUUGCAGAUGGCCUAUUGUGGGACUUCACCGUGUGUUUGUACUGAAAAAAGAAAAGAGAGAAGGAAUUGUGGAUGGAAAGAGAAAGAGGAAGGGAAGAGAAAAGAGAGAGCAAGAGGCAUAAUCCCAGGUGUAUUGAUUAGGUCCUACCAGAAAAUAUUUCUUCAUCCCACCAUCCAGAGUUCCACAGUAAUACAGAGCGGCAUCAUUUUCAGUAAAUAUA